GCUGGGUGUGGUGGCGCACGCCUGUAGUCCCAGCUACUCAGGAGGCUGAGGCAGAAGAAUCGCUUGAACCCGGGAGGCAGAGGUUGCAGUGAGCCGAGAUUGUGCCUGGGUGACAGAGUGAGACUCUGUCUCAA
ensembl:misc_RNA Metazoa_SRP Metazoan signal recognition particle RNA